rnacentral:rRNA from 1 species
GACGAACGCUGGCGGCGUGCUUAACACAUGCAAGUCGAGCGGUAAGGCCCUUUCGGGGUACGACGAGCGGCGAACGGGUGAGUAACACGUGGGUGACCUGCCCUCAGCUCUGGGAGUAAGCCUGGGAAACGUGGGUCUAAUACCGGAUAUGACUCCAUGACGCAUGUUGUGGGGUGGAAAGCCUUGUGCGGCUGAGGAUGGGCCCGCGGCCUAUCAGCUUGUUGGGGGGGUGAUGG